AUUGGACGCUGGCGGCAGGCCUAACACAUGCAAGUCGAGCGGAUGAAGGGAGCUUGCUCCUGGAUUCAGCGGCGGACGGGUGAGUAAUGCCUAGGAAUCUGCCUGGUAGUGGGGGAUAACGUCCGGAAACGGGCGCUAAUACCGCAUACGUCCUGAGGGAGAAAGUGGGGGAUCUUCGGACCUCACGCUAUCAGAUGAGCCUAGGUCGGAUUAGCUAGUUGGUGGGGUAAAGGCCUACCAAGGCGACGAUCCGUAACUGGUCUGAGAGGAUGAUCAGUCACACUGGAACUGAGACACGGUCCAGACUCCUACGGGAGGCAGCAGUGGGGAAUAUUGGACAAUGGGCGAAAGCCUGAUCCAGCCAUGCCGCGUGUGUGAAGAAGGUCUUCGGAUUGUAAAGCACUUUAAGUUGGGAGGAAGGGCAGUAAGUUAAUACCUUGCUGUUUCGACGUUACCAACAGAAUAAGCACCGGCUAACUUCGUG
rnacentral:rRNA from 1 species